ensembl:lncRNA
UUAAUAGAUGUGCUUCAUCACAGUAUAAUACAUUGACAUGUAUUGCUAUUGUUCAAGCUCUUCUCCAGAAAUAACCUUUCUAUUCUAUACUGUUCUAUUUUAUUAUAUUAUUUUCUAUUCUAUUUGAUUAUGCUAUUUUUUUCUAUUCUAUUCAAUUGUUCUUUUCUAUUCUAUUUGAUUGGGGCUGGUGUGUUUUCUCAUCCAUCAGGGUGAACCAGGACAUCCCGGAGAGCCCGGUCUCAGAGGGGAGACAGGUCUGCCUGGACAAAGGGGUCCUGAUGGAAAACCAGGAUCUCCAGGAACGGGAGGGUCUGGGUCAGGGAGAGAUGGUCUGGAUGGGUUACCAGGAAAACCUGGAUCCAAGGUUUGGACACCUCAUUCCCUCACUUCCUUUCACAUCUGUUGUUGUUUUUCUAAUGUGAACACACACAAACAUACACGUACAUAGACUAGAUGUAUUGUUGUAGUUUGUCAGCAUAACAGAACCAUUAUCACAGUAAGAGUUCACAUUGACAAAAUUGGGUGUUGAUCGUUCAAUCCAUAAAAAGUUGUAGCAGAUAAUCAAGGUGUUGUGCUUUGAAUGGUUUCCUGUCUGCAGGGUGACCCAGGAAAGACAGGCGAGCCAGGAACGGUGAGUGCAGUAUUCAUACCCUUUGAAUAAACACAUUUUGCUCUGAUUCCUUUAAUCAGAGGAUAACUGCAGUCCUACAGAGCUACAGGGUGUGUUUAAAGCCCAGCUCUGAUAAACCUGAUUAAACCAAUUGUGGUUUAAAUUAAAGGCCGUUGUUAGCUGAUGAUCAGUUGAUUCAGUGAGUGUUACUGCUUGGUGAGACAAACCCCUGCAUUGGCUGUGGUUCUCUAGGACUACAGCAGUUUCCCUCUUGCAUUACACUACAUUACAUUGAUUGAUGAUGUGCAUGGACUAACCAAGUACUUCAGAAGAUGUUUUGGGUUACGUUGGGAGUAGACAGUCAAGCUAGCUCACAAUGUUUUUCUAAGUUAUAUUCUUCAAGAAUCAAACAGUAGGUAUUAUUCAUUUAAAUGAUCAAAAACCAUACAGUUGGUGGUGUGACUUUCAUAAUUUACACGUUUAAGGCUUCUGAUGAGAAAGCCUUCUGCUGUGCAUAGUAUGUGGACUUCUUUCAGCAGGAACUUGUCACAGGUUCACCUACUGUAUAGGGGAUUGGUGAUUACAGCCUAUUCAUUGAACAUUAUGUACUAGCAAUGUUGUACUAGGUUGAUGAUUGUUAGUCAUCCAUGAGUCAUUUAACAAUAUCAUAAUGUAUACAGAGGGCAAGGAACCCCACUUAUAGAUGGGAAACGUGUGUGUGUGUGUGUGCGUGUGUGUGUGUGUGCGUGCGUGUGUGUGCAUGCGAGUGUGUGUGCAUCCGUGCGUGUGUGUGUGUGUGCGUGUGCAUGUGUGCGUGCCUGUGUGUGUCGGUCUGAGCAGAGGGGAGAGAAAGGAGACCAAG